UGGUCGAUGAUAGUAAAAUAAAACAUUAGUCGUUAGACUAACGAUAUCAUUAGUUUCUUGCUCUCCUACUUCUAUCUAAACGAAUCCACUGGAGUAAAGAACUGCCAAACAAAUGUUGCAUCCAAAAAUUCAACACUACCACAACUAUCAAAUCAAACCAGUCCAGGUUCUUGUGAAGCCAGGAAUGUACAGGUAGGAUGACUACCUCGAUGAGCAAACUCUUCUCCUUGGUUGCCCCAGUCUUGACCCGGAGCAUGUUGUCGGCCGAGUACGGCAUCCCCACAUCGUCUAGCGUCACUCUUCUUUGAUCGGCGACGGCCAGCGACAUCCAUACAACCGUCAGUGCACAAGGUCAAUUCUAUCAUUCUUCUGCACAUACAAGAA
rnacentral:lncRNA from 1 species